rnacentral:misc_RNA from 1 species
CCUUCUAGUGUCUGGACACAACUUUUGGUUUGAUAGUCCCAGACCUUAGCAGUGUGAUCAUCAGAACCUGUGAUUAGAUAAGGUUUAUCACCACCAGUAAAGUAAUCAACACAAUUUACUCCUUUCUGAUGGGCAUCCAGUGUAAAAUUUGGGUCUGGUGAGCCAAGAUUCCAAAUCUUUAUGGUGUGAUCAAGGGAUGCACUAGCAAAAGUAUUUGUAUCUUUUGGAUUAAAUGUCACUUGCAUCACAUAAUGGGAGUGUCCCUCAAAUAUCUGAGUACAGACCCAACCUUUCUCCCAAUCCCAAAGCUUUAUGAGCAUAUCAUCAGAUGAUGACAGCACAUAUGGAAGGGUAGGAUGGACAGCCACACAUCU